ensembl:lncRNA
AUGGAGGAUCUGGACCUCAAGGCACAGAGGAUGACCGUGAUGACCCUUCACAUGACACACCCAGGUGAAUCGGGCCAGACCAUUUCAUAUCCAAGCAUCUUCGUUUUGGCUAAUGUUAUGAACAGAUUGUAUCUAAUGCUUGACCGUCUGUUUAUUCUUCUUAGUAUGAACGUAGGCCUCCCAGAGUCAUCUGUGUUCCACUUCACAGGGCGUGCUGAUGGCAGCGUCUCCUGCCAGGACAAGUUACACUGGAGCAACAUGGUGCGUGGCUACCCUUCUGAGCAGUACCCUCUGAGUAUCACCCCUCCCCAGCCUCACUACUAUGUCCCUCCGUCACCCUUGUGUCCCCCUAUUGCCCCCCUGCUGCCCUGGUCAAUGCCAGGAUAUCCCCAAUGGGCCCUUACACGACCCCCCUGUCCCAGCCAGGGUCAGGCCCUCCUGCUCCCCCUGCCUCCCAGCUCUACCCAGCCCAGCAAGCAGACAGCUCACCAAAGUGAAGGGCCUAAGAGGCAGACAGCUCAGCAAGGAGAAGUGGAGACUGCGAAGCUACGCAAACACCGACGAAGCAGGGAGAGCAGACUGCAGAGGCACAGGAACAGAUGCAAAAAGUGAACACAUAUAAACAAUUAGCAUUGGUCAUCAAGUUUAAACGUGUAGCAUACGCUAAUAUACUAAGAUGCCCACAAGCUGUGUGGUUGUGAGGAUGGUCAUUUUCUCAGCUUUACAAAUGCACAAACACUAUACAACCAUUAAAGACCGGCUGCUCUUAAAUAUAGCCCACAGUAUUCCUUUGAAUAUUCCUGUACAAAUAUAUGUAUAUAUCUGUUUACGCAGUUUUGUUUCAUAUGCCUAUGGCUGUUUUUCUGUUUCAUCGUCUGGUGUGUUUACACCAAAUAAAUUGCACAUUUCCUAAAAGAACU